AUUUCAUUGUCAUCAUGACAAUAAGUCUGUUUUUGGCUCUGAUCAAAUGAAGAACUUGUGUAAUGAAUGCUUCUUUUUUUCCUCUCUUAAGAACCGAUUAUGUAAAUGCUGUCUGAUUCCACUUACACGAGGCAUGAAGAGCAGCAAAAUCAUAAAGACAGAAGGUGGGACGGAGGUGCCCGGACGGGGGAGGAGGGCUCACAUAAGGGUGCCGCUGGGACCCCCACAGAGCCCAGCCUGCAGAGUCGGAAGGAGGAGAAUGCCCUGUGAACUCCUGUCCUUCGGCUUCCUUGCUCCUGGUUCCAGAGGCCUCUCCUGGGCGGGUAGAGCUGCCUUACUGUAUCCCGAGCCCAUCGCUUUGCAGAAACCUUUCCAGGUCUGGCCGUUUGGAGGGGAAAUCAGCUGAUUCUUCCCGUGAGGCACGGAGGACCAAAUGGGAGAAGACAGUCGCUCUGUCCAAAGAGGACGAUCAGGAGCCCCGAAAGGGCUAAACAGAUGUCAUCGAGCCCUGCCUCAGAAGUGCAAGAGGGGCUGGACCCCCGCCCAGCGUGGACACGUGGCUCCAGGGCUCCUCCUGCACAGCAUGCAGCCUCCCCUUCAGGAGAACCGUGUCUCCAAAGCCGAGCUACCGUCAAGAGAUGGCCAGACUUCGUUAUGUCCUUAUGUGCCUGCUCAUCUGACUUCCAGACCUUUUGUGUUCCUCGGACUGAUCUGGCCCACGUCCGCACUGUGGGUCUGGGGCCCCUUUCCUCUGGAAGCCCCAUGUGGGGGACCCCAGGUACUGUCAAAUCAAGCUCUGUGGGGUUGCCCACAAGCUUGCUUCCUCAGCACUCCCUCAGAAGCUACUACUAUUUGGGUCCUUAUCACCCUUUGCCUGGACUGUCCCCCAAAUGGCAUCAAUAUCUUCCCACUGCUCAGUUCUCUCUAGUUUAUCUGAUAAAAUAUACACAGUACAGCUAUGAUCACGUCAUUCCCUUCUCAAAACAUCACUGACUUCCAAUCCCUUUUAAAUAUAAAUAUAACCCGACUCCAAAGUUGUUCUCAGGGGCUUUAGCCACCUUUUGAACUUAUGUUUUCUCUACUUCCCUUUAACUAUUGUGCACUUCGUUAAACAGAGCUAUUUACACAGCUACGUACGUCUCCCACAUUUUCCCUCCUUGGGAAGACUCUAUCUAUUCUUCAAAGGCCAGGUCACGUCCUUCCCUCACGAAGCCUUCACUGGCCCUGUCCCGCAUCACCUGGCACUUUCCAUCUUGCAUGCAUGGCACCUGGGGACCGGUCUCUUCGACAUCACGUUGGGUUCCCUGCACCCAGCACGGUGGCUUGUGGGGUUGGCACCUGCAAGCUGGGCUAAAUGGGUUGUUUCUUUUACUUUGGUCUCAUUUACUGUUUUGGGAGAACAAUGGGUCUGCUUAAUUAGUCUAUACUGCUACAUUUUAGAUGUCCAGCUUCCAAGCGAGGGUAUUAAGUCAAUCACUUAUGUCUUGAUGACAGAGCUACGCCUCAGCGGCCUCUCAGCUGAGCAGUAUCCAGCAUCUAAAAGCAGGAACAGAUGCUUAGGCUGGGCUGCCAUGGAGACGAAUGUUCUCUGAUCCUCUCUGUGAAGAAUGACUUCAGGGUUGCUGGUUAUAGAAAUGAAUGUUUUUAGUCAACAGUGCAUCUCAGCCUCCAACAUAAGAAAACCCUAUUUCCAGUGCCAUGCCCGUCUGAAGCACCAAUUGGUUUUGCUUCCAAAAUCAGUUGUGUUGCCACCAAAUUAAAUCGGCUGUGAAAUAAUGGUAUCUGCCAACAUGUGGGCUUUUGGUUAAUUAUUAUCUUUUUAUAAAAGACCUAUGCUUUAAUUGAUACAUUUUCUUUUACUUAAGCCAUUAAUGAUGUGCUAUUCUGGCCUUGUCAUCAGGUAGCUCUGCAAAUAGUGUAUUUUUGGAAUGAUAAUAAAUGGCAUUUGAAAAGUGUUAA